rnacentral:hammerhead_ribozyme from 1 species
CACUGCUGAGGAGUCCCAUAAUAGGACGAAACGGCCGUCCAGCGC